rnacentral:rRNA from 1 species
UUGGAGGGCAAGUCUGGUGCCAGCAGCCGCGGUAAUUCCAGCUCCAAUAGCGUAUAUUAAAGUUGUUGCAGUUAAAAAGCUCGUAGUUGAAUUUCGGAAUCAAUAUGUUGGUCGUGCCAUUGGUACGUACUGGCAUUAUUGGUUUCUACCUUCUGAAGAACCUCGAUGUCAUUAAUUUGGUGUCUUGGGGAAUCAGGACUGUUACUUUGAAAAAAUUAGAGUGUUUAAAGCAGGCUCGCGCUUGAAGACAUUAGCAUGGAAUAAUGAAAUAGGACGUUUGAUUCUAUUUUGUUGGUUUCUAGGAUCGACGUAAUGAUUAAUAGGGAUAGUUGGGGGCAUUAGUAUUCAAUUGUCAGAGGUGAAAUUCUUGGAUUUAUUGAAGACUAACUACUGCGAAAGCAUUUGCCAAGGAUGUUUUCAUUAAUCAAGAACGAAAGUUAGGGGAUCGAAGACGAUCAGAUACCGUCGUAGUCUUAACCAUAAACUAUGCCGACUAGGGAUCGGAUGAUGUUAAUUUUUUAAUGACUCAUUCGGCGCCUUACGGGAAAC